UACGAAGGGGGCUAGCGUUGUUCGGAAUUACUGGGCGUAAAGCGCGCGCAGGCGGUCUUCCAAGUCAGUGGUGAAAGCCCGGAGCUCAACUCCGGAACUGCCAUUGAAACUGUAAGACUUGAGGAUGAGAGAGGUGAGUGGAAUUCCACGUGUAGCGGUGAAAUGCGUAGAGAUGUGGAGGAACACCAGUGGCGAAGGCGACUCUUUGGUCUGUAACUGACGCUGAGGCGCGAAAGCGUGGGGAGCAAACAGG
rnacentral:rRNA from 1 species